UGAAAAUCGUUUGCGGAGUUGAGAUUCCAGUUCUGGAGCCGAGACUUGGCCUGACGAAUAUGACUAGGGGUGCUGACAUAGUGAAUGGGGAUGUUGUAGGGUGAGAUGAGUCGCGAGAGGUGGAGGAGCUGGUUCAAGUGGCUCUGUGCAGGGAAAGGUACCAUAACAACUACAAUUGGGGACUUUGAUUCUCCAUUGGAUUGGUGGUUGUGAUUAUUAAGAGAAGCCAUGAGUUCUGUGGAGUUUGAUUCGGGUUUGUUGCAGGGAAUUGGAGCUAGUGAGGGACUAAAUAGAAGAGAGUCGUGCAACUACAACAUCAUAGGAGAUGGGUCAACGCCAGAGUCAACAGGGUAGCUGAGUAAAUACAGUACUUUUUUUGUGGGGGAGUAGAUUGAUUCAGAUUGCCAUUAUUGUGGCAGACUGAAAAUGAAAGGAUGAGGAGACUGGGUUUUUGGUCAACUGUGGAAAAUUGUUGAUUCGGCCACAACCAUUGAUUACAUUUAGCUGAGAGGCUGAGAGGUCGAGCUGAAUAGUAUAAGGUAUAGACUCUGAACUCUGAAGUCACGUCAACCCCGUGAUUUCUUGUGCAGGUUUAAUCAUUUAAGCGUCAUACUUCAGUAAAGGGGUGCUUAGGUCAUUUUGACGAAGAACUGGACACCAUUAAUCUCGCAGUGUGAGACUAUGAGCAUAAGUAUUCUAGAAGAUCCAGAAGUACUUCACUCCAUGGUAGAUUUAAAAUAGCAUCAAACUACGGGAUGUUGAAAAGAAUAUCAAGUACACCUUUAAAAGCAUGGCUAAUGGUAGUGCUAAAAUACGUGUAGUUAUUGCUAUAUUUUAGCAUCAAAAAACGACUUGACACUUUAAAGUAGCACUUCUACUUCAAUGGGUAGAUUUAAAAUAUCGGUCUUUCUAAUGUGUGCCCAAGGGCACACAUUACCAAGGCACACAUUAAACACUAAAUUUUAUAAAAAUGACUUGUUUUGAUUGGUGGAAUUGAUGUGAAUGCAGGGAGGCCAUUAUCAUUUAUUGUUCAUCCACCAAUCAAAAUGAGUUAUUUUUAUUGGAGUUAGAGACUAUUGUGUGCCCUUGGGCACAUCAUAGAAAAUCCCUUAAAAUAUCACUAAACUAUCUAAAUAUAGCUAUAUUUCAUUCACCAAAUCUUUAAAUGCUCUACUUUAUUUGUCAACAUUACUUUAAAUUAAAUAUUAAUUUUCCUACUUGCAUGCUUAUGAGGCAAUUAUAACGACGUCUCUACUUGGUUUUAUAUUUAACACCAAGUAUAGAAUUUCGCUAUUUUACAUCCACGUUUAGCAACCCAUUGGAGCGAGAUUUUUUGCUUGGGUGCUAUAUUAUAUAUGUCAUUCACUAGCAAACCAAACUUUCAGAGAACACUUUUCUUUGGCUUGUGGAAAUACUUGUUCUCUAUGCGCAAGCACCUGUAAUAUUACAUGAUAUAUGCUUGCAUUUAGAUAAUCCAACCAGGACAACUAUUAGAGUAAGUCAAAUAAAGGUGCUAAAGGUGAUGCUAUAUCUAUAAUAUAGCACUCAAGCAAUAUACCAACUAAAUAUAAAAUCAAGUAUAGACGUUGCUAUAAUUGCCACAUGAGAAUGUAAGAGGGAAAAUUAAUAUCUAAUUUAAAAUAAUGUUGACAAAUAAAAUAGAGCAUUUAAAGAUCUGAUGAAUGAAAUAUAGCUAUAUUUAAAUCGUUGCUAUUUUAAAUCUACCUAUUGGAGUAAAAGUUCUAUUUUAAUAUCACAAGUCACUUUUUAGUGCUAAAAUAUAACAUAACUAUACAUAUUUUAGCAUCACCGUUGAGCAAGGUGUACUAGAUUGUUUUCACCAGCUCUUAAUACGUGACUAGGGGUGCUGACAUAGUGAACGGGGAUGUUGUAGGGUGAGAUGAGUCGCGAGAGGUGGAGGAGCUGGUUCAAAUGGCUCUGUGCAGGAAAAGGUACCAUGACAAGUGACAACUACAACUGGGGGACUUUGAAUCUGCAAAUUUAGAAAUGUUUACGGCUGGUACAACUGGGGGACUUUGAAUCUGCAAAUUUAGAAAUGUUUACGGCUGGGAUUUUUAACAAUUAGGCUAUGUUUCGAUGUACAUCUACAAGUUUAAAACUUGGUAUUUAUAAUAAUUAGGUUCUAC
rnacentral:lncRNA from 1 species